AGAGAGAGAGGUCAGAAGAUUGAAUCAAGGUUCCUGAAUAAAACUGCUUGAAGAUCUCCUGUGGUCGUGUCUUCCUUGCUGGCACGGCAAGUGGUGACCUGUACGGGCAAUCCUCGAAUCCACCGUAAAGGGAUUCAACUCUCCCCGAGAUCAGAACUUCUUGCAGUCAGGGCAGCGCUGGAAAGCUCCCAAGGACCGGCAAGAUCCGUUGUGGGUCCCUGAAAGAUUGACCAGGAGGUACAACAAGAAUGAAGAUCCUGCUGUUGCUGACACUUCUCGGUGUGACCCAAAUGCUGGUCCAAAUGGAGCCCCGGUGGGGGAUACUACCGGUGUUCCCGAGACUCAUGCCGAUACAUCAUGACCUUUAAGCCCACUCCUCUAAUUUGUCUAAACAGUUGUCAAGAUAUCUUUUAGGUAAUUGGACUGGAGAAUUCGAUUUCUUAAUGGAUCAGCUACGUGUAGCCAUCGUGACCUAGACUGGCUAUGAGUUUGUCAUCUUGGAUUGCUGCUGCUAUGAAUCAUCUGAGGGAGUGGGCGGGUAUGGGAGCCCUAGCUGGACUCUUGCUGCUGGUCUCCCUAGUGAGCCUGUGCUGUCUCUGCAGAAUGAGGUUUGUCCAGAGGCGGCAUGUGGUUAUGGUGGUACAGGCAUUUGCAGCCAUUAAAGCAGGACAGUCCCCUC
rnacentral:lncRNA from 1 species